AGAAUCUAGCUACUCUAAGUCAGUAAAAAAGAGAAUCAUGCUUUGCCAGUGCAGGGUAAGAAUCAUAAUGAAUUACAACCGUUGUUUAUAAUAGAUAAUAGUGUCACAAUCGAACAUGACCAACCACAUAUAAAUACUUUUUGUCUGAAACAUCCGAAGAAGUGAUUGGAGAAGGAAUAAUACAAUACAUCUUUUCUCACUAAGUUGAAACAUUUCCACACAUAAUCAAUUAACUUAAUAUGAACCUAGAGAACCACGAGAAGGUGCAGGAGAAAAUGUCUUGCUCUCUAUUUGCUUAGCACGUGUAAUUUUCUAAAAUGUAGUAACUUUAACAAGG
rnacentral:misc_RNA from 1 species